rnacentral:rRNA from 1 species
GACGUUUCGAUCAUGGCUCAGGAUGAACGCUAGCGGCAGGCUUAACACAUGCAAGUCGAGGGGUAUAGUAGCAAUACUAGAGACCGGCGCACGGGUGCGUAACGCGUAUGCAAUCUACCUUUCACAAAGGGAUAGCCCAGAGAAAUUUGGAUUAAUACCUUAUAGUAUAGCGACUUCGCAUGGAGAUGUUAUUAAAGAUUUAUCGGUGAAAGAUGAGCAUGCGUCCCAUUAGCUAGUUGGUAAGGUAACGGCUUACCAAGGCUACGAUGGGUAGGGGUCCUGAGAGGGAGAUCCCCCACACUGGUACUGAGACACGGACCAGACUCCUACGGGAGGCAGCAGUGAGGAAUAUUGGUCAAUGGGCGCAAGCCUGAACCAGCCAUGCCGCGUGCAGGAUGACGGUCCUAUGGAUUGUAAACUGCUUUUGUACAGGAAGAAACACUCCCUCGUGAGGGAGCUUGACGGUACUGUAAGAAUAAGGAUCGGCUAACUCCGUGCCAGCAGCCGCGGUAAUACGGAGGAUCCAAGCGUUAUCCGGAAUCAUUGGGUUUAAAGGGUCCGUAGGCGGCUUAAUAAGUCAGUGGUGAAAGCCCUACGCUUAACGUAGGAACGGCCAUUGAUACUGUUAGGCUUGAAUUAUUAGGAAGUAACUAGAAUAUGUAGUGUAGCGGUGAAAUGCUUAGAGAUUACAUGGAAUACCAAUUGCGAAGGCAGGUUACUACUAAUGGAUUGACGCUGAUGGACGAAAGCGUGGGUAGCGAACAGGAUUAGAUACCCUGGUAGUCCACGCCGUAAACGAUGGAUACUAGCUGUUGGGAGCCAAUCUCAGUGGCUAAGCGAAA